GAUGAACGCUAGCUACAGGCUUAACACAUGCAAGUCGAGGGACCGGCGCACGGGAGAGUAACACGUAUCAAACCAGCCCUUUACUCGGGGAUAGCCUUUAGAAAGAAAGAUUAAUACCCGAUAUAAAGGAUGGGGAUGCGUUCCAUUAGGUUGUUGGUGAGGUAACGGCUCACCAAGCCUUCGAUGGAUAGGGGUGCUGAGAGGAAGGUCCCCCACAUUGUAACUGGGACCCGGUCCAAACGCUUGCGGGAGGCAGCGGUGAGGAAUAUAGGUCAGUGGGCGCUAGCCUGAACCAGCCAUGUAGCGUGAAGGAUGAAGGCUUUUGGGUCGUUAACUUCUUUUAUAUAUGAAUCUGUAUUAUAUGAAUAAGGAUCGGCUAACUCCGUGCCAGCAGCCGCGGUAAUUC
rnacentral:rRNA from 1 species